CCAAAAGAGAGCAUAUGUAAUUUUCUAUCAGUCCAACAGUCAAAAGAGCCGUGUUUGACUUGGUAUGAAUGUCCAGCAACUUAGAAAUGUGAAAAUUACUCCUCUAAAUUGAUGAUAAUUCACUUUGGCAUUCAUAGUACCUCAGCCAUGGUUGUUGAUGAGAAUUCACAAGUAGUCAAGUACUCAUAUUUUGUUCACUUACAACAAACAUCAAAGCAAUAAUCAAGUCUAAAAGACAGCAAACAAUAAGAGCUACAGAGCAACAGCAGUAGCAAUUUCUAAAAUUUAGCCUUCAUUUUGAGGAAGCUCAACUUCAUGACACGUAAAAUGUCUCGACAACAUCCGAUUGAUCCUACAGAAUAAAAAUGUAAAAGUUAUGAUGUUUUCUAAAAAUAAGAGCUACUGAGCUAAAAAAAUGAAGUAGAAUACCAAAGGACAGCAGCAGCAAUUUCUAAAAUUUAGCAUUCUUUCAAUUUUGAGGAAGCUCAACUUCAUGAUACUACCUGUCUCCACAAUCUUCAAAAUACUACCUGUCUCCACAAUCUAAAAAGUCCGCGCAGAAGCCCAUUGCAUCAUUUGUCAGCUUCCACACGAAUAUAGAGAGUAUCAAACAAAACCCACAUCCCAAUAACGCCUCAAAAGCACAAUAUUUUAGCAAAAUACCAAAAUCCCUAAAUCCUAAUUACCAAAUAGAAGAAGAUAAUGCACCUUAAUUUUUUUUUUGGAUCUCAGCUCUAUAUGUACGUAACUCCAAAAUCAGAAAUCAAGUACAGAAAAAUACACGGGUUCACCAGGUGGCGGCUGGUGUUUGCGCAACCAAGGCGGUGAGCUGGUGCGACAAGUCAGCUCCUCUGAAGAGCGAUUGCUGAUGCUCCCUGCUAGAGCUAUUACCGAAGGGUGAAUUGGUGAUUUAGGGUUGACGCCUGACGGGCCAAAGUCUGGACGGAAGAGAGCAGAGCCGAAGAGAAGGCAAAAGCCCAAAGGUGAAGGCGAAAGAAGAAUGAGCGAAUGAAGGAUUAGGG
rnacentral:lncRNA from 1 species